rnacentral:lncRNA from 1 species
GGUCUUGGGGUCUGUGGGGCGUGUCUAUUGGGGUCUAUGUGGGUGAAGUGUGAGUCGCUUAUAGUCAGGGUCUAUGGGUCUAUGUGUGUCUAUUGGGGUCUGUGGGGUGAGUGAGUGUCAGUAGGGGUCUGUGGGGUCUGGGGAGGGGGUCUAUGGGGUGAAUGAGUGUUCAUUGGGGUCUAUGGGGUGAUAGUAGGAGUCUAUUGGGUCUAGUGGGGUGAGUGGAUGGUUAUUGGUGGUCUAUGGAGCAUCAAGUAGAAAAGGUCUAUGGGGCGUCAAUAGGGGGUUUUAUGGGGUGAGUGAUGUGUAUAAGGGUCUAAUGGUGUGGUGUCUAUGGUGAGUGGAUUGUAUAGGGGUCUAUGGGUGACUAUUGGGGUCUAUGGUGAGUGAGUUGUCGAGUAGGAGGGGUCCUAUGGGGUGAGUGUCUGUUGGGGUCUGUGGGGUUUGGGGGGGGUUAUUGGGGGCUAUGGGGUGAGUGAAGUGUCAAUAGGGGUCUAUGGUGUCACAUAGGGUCUAUGGGGUGUCUUCGGGGUUGAGUGAGUGUCUAUUGGGGUCAAUGGGGUCUAUGGGGUGUCUAUGGGGUGAGUGGAUGUGUAUAGGGGUCUAUGGGGUGUCAAUAGAGGUCUAUGGGGUGUCUGUUGGGGUCUAUGGGGGGUCUAUGGGGUGACAACAUGGGUCUGUGGGGUCUAUGGGGUGAAUGAGUGUCUAUAGGGGUCUGUGGGGUGUCUGUAGGGGUCUGUGGGGUGUCUAUUGGGGUCUGUGGGGUGAAUGAGUGUCAGUAGGGGUCUAUGGGUCUGUGGGGUGUCUAUUGGGGACUGUGGGGUCUGGGGGGUGUCAGUAGGGGUCUAUGGGGUCUGUGGGGGGUCUAUGGGGUGAGUGAGUGUCAAUGGGGGUCUGUGGGGUGAGACUUUAUUGGGGUCUAUGGGGUCUGUAGAGUGAGUGAGUGUGUAUAGGGGUCUAUGGGGUGUCAAUAGGGGUCUA